UUUUCGGAUGGAAUCAAUGAAUCUUAGUGGCGGACGGGUGAGUAACGUGUGGGCAACCUGCCCUUUACAGGGGAAUAAUCAUUGGAAACGAUGACUAAUACCGCAUGUCAACACGAGGAGGCAUCUUCUUGUGAGAAAAGGAGAAAUCCGGUAAGGGAUGGGCCCGCAUCUGAUUAGCUAGUUGGUGAGAUAAUAGCCCACCAAGGCGACGAUCAGUAGCCGACCUGAGAGGGUGAUCGGCCACAUUGGGACUGAGACACGGCCCAAACUCC
rnacentral:rRNA from 1 species